rnacentral:rRNA from 1 species
UCAGCAGCCGCGGUAAUACGUAGGUCACAAAUGUUAUCCGGAAUUAUUGGGCGUAAAGGGUCCGUAGGCGGUUCGGUAAGUCUCMUGUGAAAUCUUCAGGCUCAACUUGAAGAGGUCGGGGGAUACUGCUGAACUUGAGACAGACAGAGGCAAAUGGAAUUCCCGGUGUAGUGGUGAAAUGCGUAGAUAUCGGGAGGAACACCAGUGGCGAAAGCGGUUUGCUGGGUCUGUUCUGACGCUGAGGGACGAAAGCGUGGGUAGCAAACCGGAUUAGAUACCCKGGUAGUCCACGCCGUAAACGAUGAAUACUAGGUUUUCGGGGUAUCGACCCCCUSUGAGCCGUMGCUAACGCAAUAAGUAUUCCGCCUGGGGACUACGGUCGCAAGACUAAAACUCAAAGGA